ensembl:lncRNA
GCAGGCGCGGGCCGGCAGGAGAUGUAUGAGUCAUGGAGGAGGACGGGAUCAGUCUCUGGACCGGACCCGUGUCACAACUCCCCACAACACAUAGACAAGAUGCCUGGCGCUGCAACAGCCUUCUGCAACAGUGGACCAUGAGGCAGCAAAAGCUUGUUAAAAGGCAACCUAUCGAGGAUGAUGGAGCAUCAAGAUCGAAAGAGCCUGGGUCCAUCACAUCACUGUGCUGCCUCCUGACCUGGAACGCACCUGCAGCCAGUCUUUGAAGGAAAUGGCAACCCACUCCAGUGUUCUUGCCUGGAGAAUCCCAGGGACGGGGGAGCCCGGUAGGCUGCCGUCUAUGGGGUCGCACAG